rnacentral:lncRNA from 1 species
GGCAGAGCGCGUGUGGCGGCCGAGCACAUGGGCCCGCGGGCCGGGCGGGCUCGGGGCGGCCGGGACGAGGAGGGGCGACGACGAGCUGCGAGCAAAGAUGUGCCCCGGGACCCCCGGCACCUUCCAGUGGAUUUCCUUGCGGAAAGGAUGUUGGCGGUCCCUGUGACCUGUGGAGACACGGCCAGAUCUGCCCUCCAGCCUGAUCUUUUGGCCAGAAGGAGAUUAAAAAGAUGCCCCUCAAGAUGGCUGUGCCUGUCAGCUGCAUGGAGCUUCGUUCAAGUAUUUUCUGAGCCUGAUGGAUUUACAGUGAUCUUCAGUGGUCUGGGGAAUAACGCUGGUGGAACCAUGCACUGGAAUGACACACGCCCGGCACAUUUCAGGAUACUAAAAGUGGUUUUAAGGGAGGCUGUGGCUGAAUGCCUCAUGGAUUCUUACAGCUUGGAUGUCCAUGGGGGACGAAGGACUGCAGCUGGCUGAGAGGGUUGAGAUCUCUGUUUACUUAGAUCUCUGCCAACUUCCUUUGGGUCUCCCUAUGGAAUGUAAGACCCCGACUCUUCCUGGUGAAGCAUCUGAUGCACGUUCCAUCCGGCGCUCAGCUGGGCUUGAGAAUCCUGUUACACCUGGGAUUUAGGCACUUUCAAUCUGAAAAAAUACAUAUCCUUUCAGCACUCUGGACGGACUUGAGAACUGUCCUUACGUGACCUAAAGCUGGAGUAUUUUGAGAUUGGAGAAUUAAGCCAGUCUUGGUGCUCUGUGUUCACCUGGUUCAUCUGAGGAGCUGCAUCUACCCUGCCCAUGCCAUAGAUCCUGCCCUGUUUGCUUCUCCUGUUGCUGCUAGUGGACAUGAGAAGGACAGAAUAACGGGCUCCCAGAUUCACAAGCCCCACCAAGAGGAUCACCCCAGGAACGCUUGGAGGCUGAGGAGUUCACUGAGGCUACUGCAUCUUGAGACUCAGGAUGAAGACCCAGCUUGGGGCUGUCAAAGGUUUUUUGCAUGUCUGACACCCAUGACUCCACCUGGACCUUAUGGCUCCACCCAGAAGCAAUUCAGCCCAACAGGAGGACAGCUUCAACCCAUUACGAUUUCAUCUCUGCCCCAACCACUCAGCAGCAAGCACCUGUUACCUGUCCACCCCCACCCCUUCCCCCAAACUGCCUUUGAAAAAUCCCUAACCUAUGAGCUUUGAAUAAGAUGAGUACGAACUUCAUCGCCCACGUGGCGUGGCCGGCCUCGUGUCUAUUAAAUUCUUUUUCUACUACAA